rnacentral:misc_RNA from 1 species
GAGUUUUUGAACGCAAGUUGCGCCCGAAGCCACUCGGCCGAGGGCACGUCUGCCUGGGCGUCACGCAUCUCGUCACCGCCCCAUUCCUAAGUCCUGGACUCGGAACGGCGCGCGGUGGAUGUUGGCCUCCCGUUCCCCUAGCGGCGCGGAUGGCCUAAAUUCGAGUCCCCGGACAAGGGACGUCACGACUAAAGGUGGUUGAAUUCUCAUUCAUUCUCGCUCUAGCGUCCUGACGGCCCCCGGGGGAACUGAACAAGCCCUAGAGCUCCCCAAAUUAGCUUCAAAGCUGGUCCAAGGGAGCCUUCGAACGCGACCCCAGGUCAGGCGGGAUUACCCGCUGAAUUUAAGCAUAUCAAUAAGCGGAGGAAAAGAAACUAACAAGGAUUCCCCUAGUAAUGGCGAACGAAACGGGAACAGUCCAAGCUAGAAU